rnacentral:rRNA from 1 species
GACGAACGCUGGCGGCGUGCCUAAUACAUGCAAGUAGAACGCACAGUUUAUACCGUAGCUUGCUACACCAUAAACUGUGAGUUGCGAACGGGUGAGUAACGCGUAGGUAACCUGCCUGGUAGCGGGGGAUAACUAUUGGAAACGAUAGCUAAUACCGCAUAAUAUUAAUUAUUGCAUGAUAAUUGAUUGAAAGAUGCAAUUGCAUCACUACCAGAUGGGCCUGCGUUGUAUUAGCUAGUAGGUGAGGUAACGGCUCACCUAGGCGACGAUACAUAGCCGACCUGAGAGGGUGAUCGGCCACACUGGGACUGAGACACGGCCCAGACUCCUACGGGAGGCAGCAGUAGGGAAUCUUCGGCAAUGGACGAAAGUCUGACCGAGCAACGCCGCGUGAGUGAAGAAGGUUUUCGGAUCGUAAAGCUCUGUUGUAAGAGAAGAACGGGUGUGAGAGUGGAAAGUUCACACUGUGACGGUAUCUUACCAGAAAGGGACGGCUAACUACGUG